CGCUUGGUAGUGAAAUGGUGAUCACGCCAGCCUGCAGCGCUGGAGUAACACGGUUCAAUUCCGGUCCAAGUGA
rnacentral:tRNA from 1 species